rnacentral:lncRNA from 1 species
GCAGCUAGUACUUAUGGAACGCCAUCCUGGACAAAAUUCUUCAUCAAUAAUCUAAUCGAUGUAGCUAUUCAAGUGAUGGUAGCUACGAUUUUCUAAGACUUCACCUCAUCACGUGAUCCUCACCCCGCCUAUAGUAGGCGUGUUAACCAGUGACAAGAGAUGGCGAUAAAGCAGAGCUACUAUAGUAGCCUUGAGUGAGUGCAUGUCAGUGUUCUUGGUGGAGAUCAAGAGCUCAUCAAAUCCAAGGAGUCUUUCCAAUCUUAUUAUUGAUAGGAGUAUAAAGUCUAGUCGCAACCUUGUCCGGUUAUGCUCCGUUCUCGAGAUUUAUCUGCAAUGAUACUCCCACGCACGGCAGACAUUUUGAAGAAGCUGGGGAGCUAAAGUUUAUAUUAUUAAUUUUUUUUUAAAUAUAAUAACAAUGAAUAAUGUAAUGAAACUUCAUACAAUAACUACACUAUGAAUAAGCUA